GUGUUUCUGCAGUGUUUGUAAGCACACUUUCAAUACCCCUUGAGCCUUAAAUUUCGACCCCGGGUAUGAGUCUGUUAACACUGUGUGCAUUACCGCCUGUGGCGAGAAGCCUUAUGUGCUAACGCAAAUUCCCACUUGAACCUCUGGUUCAAGGGUCGGAAGUUCUGCUACGGCACUGCGGUUUCACC
rnacentral:other from 1 species